GACAGAGGAUGCAAGCGUUAUCCGGAAUGAUUGGGCGUAAAGCGUCUGUAGGUGGCUUUUUAAGUCCGCCGUCAAAUCCCAGGGCUCAACCCUGGACAGGCGGUGGAAACUACCAAGCUGGAGUACGGUAGGGGCAGAGGGAAUUUCCGGUGGAGCGGUGAAAUGCGCAGAUAUCGGGAGGAACACCAAUUGCGAAGGCAGCUCGCUGGGACGGUACUGACGCUGAGACGCGAAAGCGUGGGGAGCGAACAGG
rnacentral:rRNA from 1 species